ensembl:misc_RNA 7SK 7SK RNA
GGAUGUGAGAGUGAUCUGCCUGUGACAUCUGUCACCGCAUUGAUGGCCAGGGUUGAUUCGGCUGAUCUGGCUGGCUAGGCAGGUGACUGCUUCCUCCCUCACCUCUCCACGUGCUUCCCUCCUGAAGCUGUGAGCUCGAUGGAAGAGGACGACCUUCCCCGAUACAGGAGGACCUUUCUUCUGUCAAGGGUAUAUGAGUAGCUGCCCACCCCUGCUAGAACCUCCAAACAAGCUUGCAAGGUCCCAUUUGCUGACAAAGUGCUGUUGUGCACACCCAACUUCAUGGCUUGGGGGAUUCCAUAGCACCCAGUUCAU